UGGCUCUCGCAUCGAUGAAGAACGCAGCGAAAUGCGAUAAGUAAUGUGAAUUGCAGAAUUCAGUGAAUCAUCGAAUCUUUGAACGCACCUUGCGCCCCUUGGCAUUCCGAGGGGCACGCCUGUUUGAGUGUCGUGAAUAUCUUCCGCCUUUGAUCGUGCGCUCGCGCGCCUUUCGAAUUGGUUCGGGACUUGGGAGCUUUUGCGGGUCGCCUUGCGUCCGCUCUCCUUAAAUGCAUUAGUGGAAAGGAACCUUUGCCCCCCGGCCCCUCGGCGUGAUAAACACAUCUGCGCCCUCGAUAAGCUGGCGGCGGCUUCGGCCCCUCCUUCUGCUUCCAACCUUGGCGGCUUCGGCCCCACCAUCGAACUUGACCUCAGAUCAGGCGGGACUACCCGCUGA
rnacentral:misc_RNA from 1 species